rnacentral:rRNA from 1 species
ACGUAGGGUGCGAGCGUUAUUCGGAAUUACUGGGCGUAAAGCGUGCGCAGGCGGUUCGCUAAGUCAGGUGUGAAAUUCCCCGGCUUAACCUGGGAAUGGCGAUUGUGACUGGCGGGCUGGAGGACGGCAGAGGGGAGUGGAAUUCCACGAGUAGCGGUGAAAUGCGUAGAGAUGUGGAGGAACACCGAUGGCGAAGGCAGCUCCUUGGGCCGAUACUGACGCUCAUGCACGAAAGCGUGGGGAGCAAACAG